rnacentral:rRNA from 1 species
GACAGCAGCCGCCGCGGGAAUACAGAGGGUGCGAGCGUUAAUCGGAUUUACUGGGCGUAAAGCGUGCGUAGGCGGCUUUUUAAGUCGGAUGUGAAAUCCCUGAGCUUAACUUAGGAAUUGCAUUCGAUACUGGGAAGCUAGAGUAUGGGAGAGGAUGGUAGAAUUCCAGGUGUAGCGGUGAAAUGCGUAGAGAUCUGGAGGAAUACCGAUGGCGAAGGCAGCCAUCUGGCCUAAUACUGACGCUGAGGUACGAAAGCAUGGGGAGCAAACAGGAUUAGAUACCCGUGUAGUCCCUGUCUCUUAUAC